GAGGCAGCAGUGGGGAAUUUUGGACAAUGGGGGCAACCCUGAUCCAGCAAUGCCGCGUGUGUGAAGAAGGCCUUCGGGUUGUAAAGCACUUUUGUCCGGAAAGAAAACUUCUGGGUUAAUACCCUGGGAGGAUGACGGUACCGGAAGAAUAAGCACCGGCUAACUACGUGCCAGCAGCCGCGGUAAU
rnacentral:rRNA from 1 species